rnacentral:misc_RNA from 1 species
GAUGAAGAACGUAGCGAAAUGCGAUAAGUAAUGUGAAUUGCAGAAUUCAGUGAAUCAUCGAAUCUUUGAACGCACCUUGCGCCCUUUGGACAUUCCGAAGGGCAUGCCUGUUUGAGUAUCAUGAACACCUCAACUCUCACGGCUUGUCCGUGAUGAGCUUGGACUUUGGGGGUCUUGCCGGCCUGUGGUCGGCUCCUCUCAAAUGGAUCAGCUUGCCAGUGUUUGGUGGCAUCACAGGUGUGAUAACUAUCUGCGCUUGUGGUUGUCCAUCAGAUAACCUUCAGUGAUAUGGAGGUUCGCUGGAGCUCACAAAUGUCUCUCCUUAGUGAGGACAGCUCUUUGAACGUUUGAUCUCAAAUCAGGUAGGACUACCCGCUGAACUUAAGCAUAUCAAUAAGCGGAGGA